rnacentral:rRNA from 1 species
GACGAACGCUGGCGGCGUGCUUAACACAUGCAAGUCGAACGGAAAGGCCCUGCUUUUGUGGGGUGCUCGAGUGGCGAACGGGUGAGUAACACGUGAGUAACCUGCCCUUGACUUUGGGAUAACUUCAGGAAACUGGGGCUAAUACCGGAUAGGAGCUCCUGCUGCAUGGUGGGGGUUGGAAAGUUUCGGCGGUUGGGGAUGGACUCGCGGCUUAUCAGCUUGUUGGUGGGGUAGUGGCUUACCAAGGCAUUGACGGGUAGCCGGCCUGAGAGGGUGACCGGCGACCAGAGGACUGAGGUAGGGCCCAGACUCCUACGGGAGGCAGCAGUGGGGAGUAUUGCACAAUGAGCGGAAGCCUGAUGCAACGGCGCUGCGUGCGGGAUGACGUCCUUCGGGUUGAGAACCGCUUUCGCCUGUGACGAAGCGGGAGUGACGGUACUGGGUGAAGAAGCACCGGCUAACUACGUG